CGGCGAGUGAAGCGGCAACAGCUCAAAUUUGAAAUCUGGCUCUCGGGCCCGAGUUGUAAUUUGUAGAGGAUGUUUCUGGCGACGUGUCUUCCGAGUUCCCUGGAACGGGACGCCAUAGAGGGUGAGAGCCCCGUCCGGUCGUACGCCUAGCCUCUGUGAAACUCCUUCGACGAGUCGAGUAGUUUGGGAAUGCUGCUCAAAAUGGGAGGUAUACGUCUUCUAAAGCUAAAUACCGGCCAGAGACCGAUAGCGCACAAGUAGAGUGAUCGAAAGAUGAAAAGCACUUUGAAAAGAGGGUUAAAUAGUACGUGAAAUUGCUGAAAGGGAAGCGCUCAUGACCAGACUUGGGCUCGGUGAAUCAUCCGGCGUUCUCGCCGGUGCACUUUGCCGGCCCAGGCCAGCAUCAGCUCGCCUCGGGGGAUAAAGGCUUCGGGAAUGUAGCUCCCUCGUGGAGUGUUAUAGACCGUUGCGUAAUACCCUGGGGCGGGCUGAGGUAC
rnacentral:rRNA from 1 species